rnacentral:rRNA from 1 species
CCUACGGGUGGCAGCAGUCGAGAAUCAUUCACAAUGGGGGAAACCCUGAUGGUGCGACGCCGCGUGGGGGAAUGAAGGUCUUCGGAUUGUAAACCCCUGUCAUGUGGGAGCAAAUUAAAAAGAUAGUACCACAAGAGGAAGAGACGGCUAACUCUGUGCCAGCAGCCGCGGUACUACAGAGGUCUCAAGCGUUGUUCGGAAUCACUGGGCGUAAAGCGUGCGUAGGCUGUUUCGUAAGUCGUGUGUGAAAGGCGCGGGCUCAACCCGCGGACGGAACAUGAUACUGCGGGACUAGAGUAAUGGAGGGGGAACCGGAAUUCUCGGUGUAGCAGUGAAAUGCGUAGAUAUCGAGAGGAACACUCGUGGCGAAGGCGGGUUCCUGGACAUUAACUGACGCUGAGGCACGAAGGCCAGGGGAGCGAAAGGGAUUAGAUACCCCAGUAGUC